UGGGGGAUAUUGCACAAUGGGCGAAAGCCUGAUGCAGCGACGCCGCGUGGGGGAUGAAGGCCUUCGGGUUGUAAACUUCUUUUGCUCUGAACAAGGCGCACCAUGGGGUGUGUUGAGUGUAGGGGUUGAUUAGCGCCGGCUAACUACGUGCCAGCAGCCGCGGUAAUACGUAGGGCGCGAGCGUUGUCCGGAAUUAUUGGGCGUAAAGGGCUUGUAGGUGGCUGGUUGCGUCUGUCGUGAAAGCUCAUGGCUUAACUGUGGGUUUGCGGUGGGUACGGGCUGGCUUGAGUGCAGUAGGGGAAGCUGGAAUGCCUGGUGUAGCGGUGGAAUGCGCAGAUAUCAGGAGGAAUACCGGUGGCGAAGGCGGGUCUCUGGGCUGUUACUGACACUGAGGAGCGAAAGCAUGGGGAGCGAACAGG
rnacentral:rRNA from 1 species